GGGGAUGUAGCUCAGUGGUAGAGCACUCACCUGGCAUGUGCAAGCCUCUGGGUGACAUCCCCA
rnacentral:tRNA from 1 species